rfam:Schistosoma rodhaini strain Burundi genome assembly, scaffold: SROB_scaffold0002365
AUCCAGCUGACGAGUCCCAAAUAGGACAAACUGACGCGCAUCCUGAAU